rnacentral:tRNA from 1 species
UCCCUGGUGGUCCAGUGGUUAGGACUCUGUGCUUUCACUGAGGAGGGGUCCAGGUUCGAUCCCUGGUCAGGGAA